rnacentral:rRNA from 1 species
UACGUAGGGGGCGAGCGUUGUCCGAAGUUACUGGGCGUAAAGCGCACGUAGGCGGCACUUCAAGUUGCAUCUAAAAGGCGGCAGCUCAACUGCCGAGUGAGGUGCAAGACUGGAGAGCUUGAGGCAAGCAGAAGAGUGUGGAACUCCGAGUGUAGCGGUGGAAUGCGUAGAGAUUCGGAAGAACACCCAAGGCGAAGGCAGCACUCUGGGCUUGAGAGGAAACUCGACCUGACGCUGAGGAGCGAAAGCCAGGGGAGCGAACGGG